rnacentral:rRNA from 1 species
GAUGAACGCUGGCGGCGUGCCUAACGCAUGCAAGUCGAGCGGCAGCGAGGGGUGCUUGCACCCUGUCGGCGAGCGGCGGACGGCUGAGUAACGCGUGGGAACGUGCCCCAAAGUGAGGAAUAACUGCCCGAAAGGGUAGCUAAUACCGCAUAUUAUCUUCGGAUCAAAGGAUUUAUCCGCUUUGGGAGCGGCUCGCGUCGGAUUAGGUAGUUGGUGAGGUAAUGGCUCACCAAGCCGACGAUCCGUAGCUGGUCUGAGAGGAUGACCAGCCAGACUGGAACUGAGACACGGUCCAGACUCCUACGGGAGGCAGCAGUGAGGAAUCUUCCACAAUGGGCGAAAGCCUGAUGGAGCAACGCCGCGUGCAGGACGAAGGCCUUCGGGUUGUAAACUGCUUUUAUAAGUGAGGAAUAUGACGGUAACUUAUGAAUAAGGAGCGGCUAACUACGUG